rnacentral:lncRNA from 1 species
UCUUCUCUUCGAUUUAGGGUUUGGUUUCAACAUCCGCACACAAGCAAAAAAACAAAUCCUCUUUUUUCCUCUGUCCUCCGGUUUUCCUUUUCUGAGAAUCGAAUUUCAAAUCAGCUGAUGAGACAAAAAACUGCAACAAUAUGAUGGAUACGCUCCAAUUUCCAUGAUUCUUUGUAUUUAAGUCUCUGAUGAUUUGUUUCGUUCCUUCAUCUUCACCAAUUUUUUAUUAUUUAUAUUCAUGAAUUUUGUUUUUUUAAUUUCCAAGUGAUAUGAUGAGGAACUUAUUGGUCCGUGUUUCUGAUUUAACCGUGACCGACAAACCUUAACCAACUCUGAUCGCUCUUUUAUACAUACGCUCAAUUUAAUUUGAAGUUUUUGAAAAUUUUCAUGCUUUUUAGUGGUUGCUCUGUGAUUACCUGCCUGAAAUGGGCAAUAUACGCUAUUCCGAUUAUUACAUGACCGGAGAAACUUCUAGAGAAUGUAUGAGAGUUACUGCUAAAUUUUUAGUGUGUGUUUUUCUUGUUUAAUUUUCAUUAUGCCUGUGUUAUUCUGCAGUGAUGAAUUCUGGAUAAAUUUCACAUGUCAGACUUCAGAGAUUUCACAAUCAAUGAGAAUUAAAAUUCUAGUUUUCUGAGCAGAAUUUGUUGAUUUCAUGAAACUGUUUUCAAUUUUGUGAAAAAAAGUUUGAAGAUUUUGAUUUGUAUGUAAUGUGACGUGAGAUUUCUGUCUCGAAUUCUCAUGCUUUUGAAUGGGAGCAAGAAGUAGUUAUGAUUGUAGAUUCCCAAGUAAGCGUCACAAAGCAAGCCAUGUAACGUUGACCGGUCCUCCUUCCCAUUCGUGGGAGGGAGCUCCUCCGUUACGGGGCGGUCUCAUAUUCCAUUGCCUUGUGGAGCAGAGUUGCUGCCUUUACCAUUUGGGACAUGCCAUGAGACGUACAUUCUGUUUUCACGCAUCAGGAUUUGAACAAUUCAAAUGUAAUUUCUUGGGCCUUACUAUUUUUCGCCACAGGUUUAGGCUUUUACCUUUGCCAGUAUAAUUGAUUCUAAAUCAGGAUGAGUAAGAUUUCUUAAAGAUUGCACGUUAUGAAUUAAAUGAAGUUGAAUUUGCUGGCAGAUUUCACUGGUUGGACCGCAGAAAUUUCACCAGAACAAUGA